rnacentral:RNase_P_RNA from 1 species
CGAGCGGGCGAGAUGAUCGCGGGCGGCUUUGGCCGUUCGAGGAAAGUCCGAGCACCGCGGAGCAGGGUGCCGGGUAACGCCCGGCGGAAGCGAUUCCAGGGAAAGUGCCACAGAAAACACACCGCCCAAGACCGGCUUCGGCCGGGACGGCAAGGGUGAAAAGGUGAGGUAAGAGCUCACCGGGCUUCCGGUAACGGCGGCCGUCAUGGUAAACCCCACCCGGUGCAAGACCAAAUAGGAGGGCAGAGGUGCUCCGCCUCGUCAUGACUCUCGGGUUGGUCGCUUGAGGUGUCCGGUAACGGGCAUCCCAGACAAAUGAUCGUCCUCCUUCGGGAGAACAGAACUCGGCUUACGUCCCGCUCGGGCC